rnacentral:rRNA from 1 species
GAAUUCGCCCUUAGAGUUUGAUCCUGGCUCAGAACGAACGCUGGCGGCAGGCCUAACACAUGCAAGUCGAGCGCACUCUUCGGAGUGAGCGGCGGACGGGUUAGUAACGCGUGGGAAUAUACCCUUUUCUACGGAAUAGCCUCGGGAAACUGAGAGUAAUACCGUAUACGCCCUUCGGGGGAAAGAUUUAUCGGUGAAGGAUUAGCCCGCGUAAGAUUAGAUAGUUGGUGGGGUAAUGGCCUACCAAGUCUACGAUCUUUAGCUGGUUUGAGAGGAUGAUCAGCAACACUGGGACUGAGACACGGCCCAGACUCCUACGGGAGGCAGCAGUGGGGAAUCUUAGACAAUGGGCGCAAGCCUGAUCUAGCCAUGCCGCGCGAGUGACGAAGGCCUUAGGGUCGUAAAGCUCUUUCGCCAGAGAUGAUAAUGACAGUAUCUGGUAAAGAAACCCCGGCUAACUCCGUGCCAGCAGCCGCGGUAAUAAGGGCG